GAGGGGAGGCCUAACUGCAGUUCGAGCGGUAGAGAGAACUUGCUUCUCUUGAGAGCGGCGGACGGCUGAGUAAUGCCUAGGAAUCUGCCUAGUGGUGGGGGAUAACGUUCGGAAACGGACGCUAAUACCGCAUACGUCCUACGGGAGAAAGCGGGGGAUCUUCGGACCUCGCGCCAUUAGAUGAGCCUAGGUCGGAUUAGCUAGUUGGUGAGGUAAUGGCUCACCAAGGCGACGAUCCGUAACUGGUCUGAGAGGAUGAUCAGUCACACUGGAACUGAGACACGGUCCAGACUCCUACGGGAGGCAGCAGUGGGGAAUAUUGGACAAUGGGCGAAAGCCUGAUCCAGCCAUGCCGCGUGUGUGAAGAAGGUCUUCGGAUUGCAAAGCACUUUAAGUUGGGAGGAAGGGCCACACACCUAAUUACGCUAAUUGUUUUGACGUCACCCGACCAGAGUAUUCCACCCGGCUAACUUCCGUGCCAUCAGCCCCGGGUAAUCACCAAGGGGGGCAAGGGAUUUAUCCGAAUUUACCUGGGCCGUAAUAGCGCGCCGUAGGAUGUGUUCAGUAGGUUUGGGAAGUGGAAAUUCCCCGGGGCUCUAACCUGGGGAACCUGCUUUUUCAAAAUCGGCUUAAACCUAAAAGUACGGCAAAAAGCGGUGGGUGAGAAUUUCUUCUGUGCUAGCGGCGUGAAAAUGCGUUCAUAUCUUUGGAAAGGGAACCCCCCUUGUGGCUAAGUGGGGACCUCCCCUGGGACUGUAUCUCGAACCACUGAAGGUUGCCUAAAAGCUCGGUGGGACGCCAAACACGGAUUUAUUUUGCACCCGGGUAGCCCCCCCGCCUCUUUAACGAUCUUCUAUCUACUCACUUGUGUAACUCUUCCA
rnacentral:rRNA from 1 species